UAAAAUCUCUACAAUAAAACUAAACUGCUCGUAAUCCUAUUAGCUACUGUAUUAGCUAGUCAUCCGCAUCCUCAAUCCUCGCCAAACCAGGCCACUGUCACCACAACCACCUGUACCUUCAUGGACAUCUUCCCCAUCUCCAUUCGAUGCCGCUGACGGGCUAAAAUUCUUCCGGUUGCGCCUCCUUUUCGUCUCCUCCCAAUCUCUUGUUAAUCCUCGACGAUCCAAAAAAUCUAGCAGGAGCAGAAAGAAAACGAAUCUGGUAGGAUCCAUCUCCUUGCGCCUCCUUUCCCUCUCCUCCCUAGUUUUUUUUUUAAAUCUGGACGCCUCCAUUGAUCCCAUCUCCCUGCUCUUCUCCUACGACUAACGACGCUGGCGCUGCAGCCUACACCUAGCCACCAAGCUUGAGCCCGGCGCAUUCGUGCCGCAGCCUGCUCCUUGUGACGUCCUCGACGUCGACGUGCCCACGAUGUGUCCUGCACAACGCCGACCGGUCACCUUGUUCUGGGUGCUCGAGCUGCAUCCUGCACACUACCAGGGUCCACCACCGACUCUAUUCCACUACUAGUUCGUUCUUAUUCCUCCUUCCUCUGUUUUUUGGUUGUUGGGAAUUUAUAUCAACUAUUGUUGAUUCAAGUCCAGUUCAUGAUUAUUAAACACGUAGGUGCAGUUUUGUUUGCUUUAUUUUGUUUACAAAUUUACUAUGUCGUGUUGAACAACAUAAGGGUACUUCGAUAGUAAAACUGUGACAUCUGUAAUGUACUUAUUUUUUUUAGCAUUCAAUAAUUAUUUCUCAGUCCAUCAGCAUUCACUUAUUUAAUUUAAUUUUAUUAUGUAGAUUUUUGGUGCCCACUUCAAACUAAGGCUUAAUUAUAGGUUAUCAUAACGAGUCACCACAAGUAUGGAACGUCAAAAAUGUUGAAUUGGCCUGGACCUUGUCAAAGAUAUCAAGAUAAUUAGCAAAUUUCAGCAGAAAAAGGGGUACACACACAUCUUAUAUGGGAAAACAGGACUAUGGAAAGGUUACAACUUAGCUACAAAAGGUAUUCACGCUAUUUUGUAUUGAAUGAUAUAAAGAGGUUGCUUGUUUUCAUAUAUGCAGAUGAUGUGCCAAGAAACAUACAAGGCUUAUUCACUGCAAAUUGGGAUGCAGAUGAUUCCGGAAGUGAGAUUCUAACUAGCUUGUAGCACAUCAAGAAUUUGUUUCUACACUCCAUUGUCUUCUAGUUACUCAAAUAUAUUGCACCCAUAAGGAUGAAAGCUAUGAUAUCAAAAUAAUGUCAAUUUCAUAUUUUUUCAUCAUCGACCCUUCUUACAAAUUGGUUUUAUAUUUUCCAGACACUGGAAAUGGCGCACAUGAAUUAACAGGAGUGACUGAUGGUCCACCGUAAUACGUAGAAGCAUGAGAAGGCAUUGUGAUCACCAAUGAAGGAUAAUAUCCAUUCAAAGAAAGAUGGUGUCCCUUGAUUCAAGAUUAAUAAAUAUUAUCUUUUAUAGUAGUCUCGUUUUCAAGAUAUAUAUGAACAAGUACAUUGGUCAUAUAAGAAGUACUAUUUACUCAAAUUUUGUAAAUUAGUAUAUUUUAAUUCCAGAAUUGUAUGUGAGAGUUUUAGUAUUUAUAUUAAGAAAAAGAGGC
rnacentral:lncRNA from 1 species